AGCGCCAUUUACAGAGCUAUAAGCAUGAUGGUUGUCAUAGCUCUUUGAAUGGUACUGC
ensembl:miRNA